UUCUUGUCAUUUGCAGGGAGUUCAGAUUUCAAGAUAUCAUCCGGUUUGUACAUAGCAAUCAAAGUUGUGAUUUUUUUCUACAGGAAAUUCCAUCACUAAUUCGACAAGACAAAUCGGCAUACCAUCACAAUGAGGAAACUUGUAUACUUCUCACUUCGUUCGACCAUUUGUCAUCAAACGAAAGUAUUAGGCUUAGCGGUAUUGUUGUGAGGUUCUAUGCCAAUGUCAGGAAAUAUGAUUUUUCUGUGAUGUCUAACCAAUGCCAAGGAAACAAUUCAUUCAACGAAAUUCAGAUUCAUGUCUCAUGUCAACCUACUAAAGCACAUAGCGGAAAUAUAUGCAAAGAUGGAAAAGGCUGCAAUACUGAAAAAGAAUUCUGCAGAAAGCUAUUUCAGGAUGAAAAUGAAAUAGGACUUUGUAUUGCACGGCGGAAUCUUUUUGAAUCCUGUGACAAGGAAAUGCCGUGCACACAAACCACUAAAUGUAAGAAUAGGAUCUGUCAUUGCGAGAAAGGAUUUAAAGUCAUCGGUGGUA